CAAUAGCGUAUAUUAAAGUUGUUGCAGUUAAAAAGCUCGUAGUUGGAUUUCGGGGCAGCCUGGCUGGUCCGCCGCAAGGCGAGUACUGGUCAGCCGCCCUUCCUCUCGAAAGCCCCGACUGCUCUUCGUUGCAGUGGUCGGGUAGUUCGGGACGUUUACUUUGAAAAAAUUAGAGUGUUCAAGGCAGGCCUACGCCUGAAUACAUUAGCAUGGAAUAAUGGAAGAGGACCUCGGUCCUAUUUUGUUGGUUUCCAGGGCCGAAGUAAUGAUUAAGAGGGACAGUUGGGGGCAUUCGUAUUUAAUUGUCAGAGGUGAAAUUCUCGGAUUUAUGAAAGACGAACAACUGCGAAAGUAUUUGCCAAGGAUGUUUUCAUUAA
rnacentral:rRNA from 1 species